rnacentral:rRNA from 1 species
CCUACGGGGGGCAGCAGUGAGGAAUAUUGGUCAAUGGCCGUAAGGCUGAACCAGCCAAGUAGCGUGAGGGAAGACUGCCCUAUGGGUUGUAAACCUCUUUUAUGCGGGGAUAAAGGUGUCCACGUGUGGAUGUUUGCAGGUACCGCAUGAAUAAGGACCGGCUAAUUCCGUGCCAGCAGCUGCGGUAAUACGGAAGGUCCGGGCGUUAUCCGGAUUUAUUGGGUUUAAAGGGAGCGUAGGCCGGUCUUUAAGCGUGCCGUGAAAUUUUGUGGCGCAACCAUGAGAGUGCGGCGCGAACUGGAGGCCUUGAGUGCGCGGAAGGCAGGCGGAAUUCGUGGUGUAGCGGUGAAAUGCUUAGAUAUCACGAAGAACCCCGAUUGCGAAGGCAGCCUGCCGCAGCGUUACUGACGCUGAAGCUCGAAAGCGCGGGUAUCGAACAGGAUUAGAUACCCCAGUAGUC